rnacentral:rRNA from 1 species
AGACGUCUACAUUAGAUACCCCCGUAGUCCCAGCCGUAAACUAUGCGCGUUAGGUGUAUCGGUGACCACGAGUUACCGAGGUGCCGAAGGGAAACCGUGAAACGUGCCGCCUGGGAAGUACGGUCGCAAGGCUGAAACUUAAAGGAAUUGGCGGGGAGCACCACAACGGGUGGAGCCUGCGGUUUAAUUGGAUUCAACGCCGGACAUCUCACCGGAUAAGACAGCUGAAUGAUUGUCAAUCUGAAGGUUUUACAUGACUAGCUG